GACGAACCGUGCGAACGUUGUUCGGAAUCACUGGGCUUAAAGGGCGCGUAGGCGGGCAGGCAAGUCAGGGGUGAAAGCCCACGGCUCAACCGUGGAAGUGCCUUUGAUACUGCUUGUCUUGAGGGAGGUAGGGGCGUGCGGAACUUCCGGUGGAGCGGUGAAAUGCGUAGAUAUCGGAAGGAACACCGGUGGCGAAAGGCGGCGCGGCUGGACCUCUACUGACGCUGAGGCGCGAAAGCCAGGGGAGCAAAGCGGG
rnacentral:rRNA from 1 species